rnacentral:rRNA from 1 species
UACGGGGGGAGCAAGCGUUGUCCGGAAUCAUUGGGCGUAAAGCGCGUGUAGGCGGUCCGGUAAGUCCGCUGUGAAAGUCGAGGGCUCAACCCUCGAAUGCCGGUGGAUACUGUCGGGCUAGAGUGCGGAAGGGGCAACUGGAAUUCUCGGUGUAGCGGUGAAAUGCGCAGAUAUCAGGAGGAACACCGGUGGCGAGGCGGGUCUCUGGGCCGUAACUGACGCUGAGGAGCGAAAGCAUGGGGAGCGAACAGG